rnacentral:rRNA from 1 species
AGAGUUUGAUCCUGGCUCAGAUUGAACGCUGGCGGAACGCUUUACACAUGCAAGUCGAACGGUAACGCGGAGAGAAGCUUGCUUCUCCCCGGCGACGAGUGGCGAACGGGUGAGUAAUACAUCGGAACGUGUCCGCUCGUGGGGGACAACCAGCCGAAAGGUUGGCUAAUACCGCAUGAGUUCUACGGAAGAAAGAGGGGGACCCGCAAGGGCCUCUCGCGAGCGGAGCGGCCGAUGACUGAUUAGCCGGUUGGUGAGGUAACGGCUCACCAAAGCAACGAUCAGUAGCUGGUCUGAGAGGACGACCAGCCACACUGGGACUGAGACACGGCCCAGACUCCUACGGGAGGCAGCAGUGGGGAAUUUUGGACAAUGGGCGCAAGCCUGAUCCAGCUAUUCCGCGUGUGGGAUGAAGGCCCUCGGGUUGUAAACCACUUUUGUAGAGAACGAAAAGACACCUUCGAAUAAAGGGUGUUGCUGACGGUACUCUAAGAAUAAGCACCGGCUAACUACGUGCCAGCAGCCGCGGUAAUACGUAGGGUGCGAGCGUUAAUCGGAAUUACUGGGCGUAAAGGGUGCGCAGGCGGUUGAGUAAGACAGAUGUGAAAUCCCCGAGCUUAACUCGGGAAUGGCAUAUGUGACUGCUCGACUAGAGUGUGUCAGAGGGAGGUGGAAUUCCACGUGUAGCAGUGAAAUGCGUAGAUAUGUGGAAGAACACCGAUGGCGAAGGCAGCCUCCUGGGGCAUAACUGACGCUCAGGCACGAAAGCGUGGGGAGCAAACAGGAUUAGAUACCCUGGUAGUCCACGCCCUAAACGAUGUUAACUAGUUGUUGGGAAGUAAAAUUCUCAGUAACGCAGCCAACGCGAGAAGUUAACCGCCUGGGAAGUACGGUCGCAAGACUAAAACUCAAAGGAAUUGACGGGGACCCGCACAAGCGGUGGAUGAUGUGGAUUAAUUCGAUGCAACGCGAAAAACCUUACCUACCCUUGACAUGUCAGGAAGCUCUUGUAAUGAGAGUGUGCCCGCAAGGGAGCCUGAACACAGGUGCUGCAUGGCUGUCGUCAGCUCGUG